ensembl:lncRNA
ACCAACCCAAAUUUCCCCUUCAGCACCUCAAUAACCCCCAAAUCCCUUCCAGACUCAAAUAUCUCCCUGAAAAUCCUCCCUAGACCCCAAUAUGUCCUCAAGGACCCUCCUCAACCCCCCAAGAAUGCCCUCAAAACUCCCCCAAGGACCCUCAUAACCCCCAAACCCCUCAAAGACCAACUCAAAUUUACUCUUCAGCACCUCAAUAACCCCCAAAUCCCUUCCAGACUCAAAUAUCUCCCUGAAAAUCCUCCUUAGACCCUCUAUUCUCUCAAAGACCCUCCUCAACUCCUCCAGAAUCCCCUCAAAAUCCCCCAAGGACCCCCAUACCCCCCAAAGACCAACUCAAAUUUCUCCUUCAGCACCUCAAUAACCCCCAAAUCCUUUCCAGGCUCAAAUAUCUCCCUGAAAAUCCCACCACAGAGCCCAGUAUCCCUUCAAGGACCCUCCUGGGAACCUCAACGCCCCCAGAAUCCCCUCAAAAUCCCCCAAAGACCAACCCAAAUUUCCCCUUCAGCGCCUCAAUGACCCCCAAAUCCCUUCCAGACUCAAAUAUCUCCCUGAAAAUCCUCCCUAGACCCCAAUAUCUCCUCAAGGACCCUCCUCAACCCCUCCAGCAUCCCCUCAAAACCCCCCCAAGCACCCUCAUAACCCCCAAACCCCUCAAAGACCAACCCAAAUUUCCCCUUCAGCACCUCAGUAACCCCCAGAUCAUCUCUAGACCCAAACACCUCCCUGAAAAUCCCACCAGGACCCUCAACGCCCCCAGAAUCCCCUCAAAAUCCCCCAAAGACCAACCCAAAUUUCCCCUUCAGCACCUCAAUAACCCCCAAAUCCUUUCCAGACUCAAAUAUCUCCCUGAAAAUCCUCCUUAGACCCUCUAUUCUCUCAAAGACCCUCCUCAACCCCUCCAGCAUCCCCUCAAAAUCCCCCAAGGACCCCCAUACUCCCCAAAGACCAACCCAAAUUUCCCCUUAAAUUAUCCCCAAAUCCCCUCCAGACCCCGAUGUCUCCUCAAGGACCCUCCUCAACCCCCCAAGAAUCCCCUCAAAACUCCCCCAAGGACCCCCUCAUCCCCCAAAGACCAACCCAAAUUUCCCCUUCCGCACCUCAGUAACCCCCAGAUCCCCUCCAGACCCAAAUAUCUCCCUGAAAAUCCUCCCUAGACCCCAAUAUCUCCUCAAGGACCCUCCUCAACCCCUCCAGCAUCCCCUCAAAACUCCCCCAAGGACCCUCGUAUCCCCCAAACCCCUCAAAGACCAACUCAAAUUUCCCCUUCAGCACCUCAAUGACCCCCAAAUCCCUUCCAGACUCAAAUAUCUCCCUUAAAAUCCUCCCUAGACCCUCUAUUCUCUCAAAGACCCUCCUCAACCCCCCAAGAAUCCCCUCAAAACUCCCCCAAGGACCCUCGUAUCCCCCAAACCCCUCAAAGACCAACCCAAAUUUCCCCUCCAGCACCUCAAUGACCCCCAAAUCCCUUCCAGACUCAAAUAUCUCCCUGAAAAUCCCACCACAGAGCCCGGUUACCCUUCAAGGACCCUCCUGAGACCCUCAACCCCCCAAGAAUCCCUUCAAAAUCCCCCAAGGACCCCCAUACCCCCCAAAGACCAACCCAAAUUUCCCCUUCAGCACCUCAAUGACCCCCAAAUCCCUUCCAGACUCAAAUAUCUCCCUGAAAAUCCCACCACAGAGCCUGGUAUCCCUUCAAGGACCCUACUGGGACCCUCAACGCCCCCAGAAUCCCCUCAAAAUUCCC